AGUGAUAAUUACCGUAAUGUAUAUAUACAAAUACAACUGAAAAAUAAAAUCCCAAAACCGGUCGUCCUUCCUAUCUAUGCAAGGAUCACUACAGCUAACAGCACCUCUCCAGAGAAUAAACAAUCCUCGGACUUCUACUUUCGGAAAUCAUGGCUGUUUCAUACUCUUCUGCACUAACCGCUGAUUUGAUAUCGAGAGAGAUAAGAGGAGGAGGCAAAAGCCAGAGGCUAUGGAAGAAGACACUGUGGAUGAAGUUAGUGAGAAUGAGAUCAAGGCAGCGCAUUUUGAGGAGUCAAUGAAUUAUAGUCAUAGAAGUUCUAGUGGUGUUUCUUUCCACAAAAUACUCCAGCAGUCUUGUGGUUUUGGCUCUGAAUUCCAGUUUGAAGGUACUAGCCUUCUCUACUCCCAUGCUUUUGUUUCCUAGCAUUAGUUGUUUUUGUGUAUGACAUAGUAUCACAAUACCAAUCUCGUGUAAUAUAUAUUAAUUCCUUUUCAUUAUCUCCUCAA